rnacentral:rRNA from 1 species
GACGAACGCUGGCGGCGUGCCUAAUACAUGCAAGUCGAACGCAGUGGGGACGGGUGAGUAACACGUGGGUAACCUCCCAUCAGAGGGGAUAACACUUGGAAACAGGUGCUAAACCGAUAUUGAUGGAUGUACCCGCGGUGCAUUAGCUAGUUGUUGAGUUAAAGGCUCACCAAGGCCACGAUGCAUAGCCUACCUGGUAGGGUGAUCGGCCACCCCGGGAAUGCGAAACGGCCCAGACUCCUACGGGAGGCAGCAGUAGGGAACUUUCGGCAAUGGACGAAAGUCUGACCGAGCAACGCCGCGUUAGUGAAGAAGGUUUUCGGAUCGUAAAACUCUGUUGUUAGAGAAGCGGUAUCUAACCAGAAAGCCACGGCUAACUACGUGCCAGCAGCCGCGGUAAUUC